CACUCCUGCGGGAGCAGCAGUGGGGAAUAUUGGACAAUGGGCGCAAGCCUGAUCCAGCCAUGCCGCGUGAGUGAUGAAGGCCCUAGGGUUGUAAAGCUCUUUCACCGGUGAAGAUAAUGACGGUAACCGGAGAAGAAGCCCCGGCUAACUUCGUGCCAGCAGCCGCGGUAAUACGAAGGGGGCUAGCGUUGUUCGGAUUUACUGGGCGUAAAGCGCACGUAGGCGGACUAUUAAGUCAGGGGUGAAAUCCCGGGGCUCAACCCCGGAACUGCCUUUGAUACUGGUAGUCUUGAGUUCGAGAGAAGUGAGUGGAAUUCCGAGUGUAGAGGUGAAAUUCGUAGAUAUUCGGAGGAACACCAGUGGCGAAGGCGGCUCACUGGCUCGAUACUGACGCUGAGGUGCGAAAGCGUGGGGAGCAAACAGGAUUAGAAACCCCAGUAGUCCCAUGAU
rnacentral:rRNA from 1 species